rnacentral:rRNA from 1 species
GACGAACGCUGGCGGCGUGCUUAACACAUGCAAGUCGAACGAUGAAACGGUUUCGGCCGGGGAUUAGUGGCGAACGGGUGAGUAACACGCGGGCAAUUUGCCCUGCACGCUGGGAUAAGCCCGGGAAACCGGGUCUAAUACCGGAUACGACACUCCGAGGCAACUUGGGGUGUGGAAAGUUCCGGCGGUGCAGGAUGAGCCUGGGGCCUAUCAGCUUGUUGGUGGGGUAAUGGCCUACCAAGGCGACGACGGGUAGCCGGCCUGAGAGGGUGAACGGCCACACGGGGACUGAGAGAGGGCCCAGAGUGCUACGGGAGGCAGCAGUGGGGAAUAUUGCACAAUGGGCGAAAGCCUGAUGCAGCGACGCCGCGUGAGGGAUGACGGCCUUCGUGUUGUAAACCUCUGUCAGCAGGGAAGAAGCGAAAGUGACGUUACCAGCAGAAGAAGCACCGGCUAACUACGUG